UGGAGAUCCUGUCAGCAGCCAAGAAAAAGAAACCUAAUGCAGAUCAGGGCUGAGCAGAUGUAGAAGAACCUAGAACAUUUCAGCCACUGCAGAGUGAGCUCUGGUGGAUUAGAAGGUACUGUUCUGGCUGCAGGCAUCUGGGACACAGCUCCCUGAGGGUGGCCUUGUACUGGUCUCAGGUAGACCUGGAUUUAGGGGGACUGGAGCUCCUUGACAGCCUGUCCAACACGGUCAGGGAUUGACUGAAAACUCACAGCCAAGUCAGAGACCAGUGAGCUGCCUCCCCUCUAGCUGUGCUGUCCUGUGUCACACUGGCACCCGAAAACCUUUUGCAUUCAGCAAGUGCAUCAGGUAGAUUCAGAAAACUUGCAGAAACUUGAGACCCAGCCCAAGAGGAAUUGGUGGCCAUUUACAAACAGAAAUCUGCCUCAUUCAGUACCUACUGGCUUAGCUCUGAGACCCUGGGAGCUAGGCAUUGAACUCUGGUCCUGGAGAAAUUAUUGACAACACACUUCUGAAAGAAGCACAGAGUAACAUUGUGUUUCUUCCAUACAGCCAGCUCCAGGAAGGCCCCAAGACAAUGUCCUCCAUUGAAGCAGAGAUCAAAGAAGCUGUGAGGAAAGAAGGAGGCUGAGAGCAGAGCUGUGGCAGGCCAUUCAGAAAGGGGAACUUGAAGAGAACCCCUGGCUCAGGAGGAAGGAAGGCAUGGAACCAGAGAUAACCUGAGAAUUUGCUGGUGUUUCAGUCUUCAGAGAACUGCAGGAAAGAUCUGUACACCCAGAUGGGUGGUGUAUCUACUGUACCUCCCGAUGCAUACACCCUGAAUUUAUGUGAGAGACUAUCAGCAUGGAAGCUUUGUCAUUCUUUAUAAAUAUAUUGUUUCAUUCAUUCAUUCA